GGCGCUAUUUGCAGAGCUAAAGAUUAAAAACAGGCCCUGUCUCUCACUAGGGCUCUGUUGCAUUGCGUUAUCAGUAUUUAUAGACAGUGGAAAUAAUUAGGUUAGGGUUUCUCAUAAUCUUUUGGACAGUUGGACCACCCAGGUUACCGGUUUUGCGCGUCGGGUGUUUGGGUCCCGUCCUUCAAAACUUGGGCUCACAUGAAUGGUCUUGGAAUACUUUGGGUCAAGGUA
rnacentral:misc_RNA from 1 species